CCUACGGGAGGCAGCAGUGAGGAAUAUUGGUCAAUGGACGAGAGUCUGAACCAGCCAAGUAGCGUGAAGGAUGACUGCCCUAUGGGUUGUAAACUUCUUUUAUAAAGGAAUAAAACGAGGCACGUGUGCCUUUUUGCAUGUACUUUAUGAAUAAGGAUCGGCUAACUCCGUGCCAGCAGCCGCGGUAAUACGGAGGAUCCGAGCGUUAUCCGGAUUUCUUGGGUUUAAAGGGGGCGUAGAUGGGUUGUUAAGUCAGUUGUGAAAGUUUGCGGCUCAACCGUAAAAUUGCAAUUGAUACUGGCAGUCUUGAGUACAGUUGAGGUAGGCGGAAUUCGUGGUGUAGCGGUGAAAUGCUUAGAUAUCGCGAAGAACCCCGAUUGCGAAGGCAGCUUACUAAACUGUGACUGACAUUGAUGCUCGAAAGUGUGGGUAUCAAACAGGAUUAGAUACCCUGGUAGUC
rnacentral:rRNA from 1 species